UACGUAGGGUCCGAGCGUUGUCCGGAAUCAUUGGGCGUAAAGCGCGUGUAGGCGGCCCGGUAAGUCCGCUGUGAAAAGUCGGGGGGCUCAACCCUCGAAUGCCGGUGGAAACUGUCGGGCUAGAGUCCGGAAGAGGCGAGUGGAAUUCCCGGUGUAGCGGUGAAAAUGCGCAGAUAUCGGGAGGAACACCAAUGGCGAAGGCAGCUCGCUGGGACGGUACUGACGCUGAGACGCGAAAGCGUGGGGAGCAAACAGG
rnacentral:rRNA from 1 species